CUAACCCCGCAAACCCACUGAUCACAAAUAAUGUGGUAAUAGAAUAUGGAAUUUAUUAUUAAGACAUUUAUGAAUAUGGUGAGUUAACAAACAGUAGACACAAUACACACAUUCAAAUACUGUACUUUUUUUUUUUUUGCUAAGUGAAUGGGUGAAUGACUGAAUGUAGUGUAAAGCGCUUUGGGGUCCUUAGGGACUAAGUAAAGCGCUAUACAAAUGCAGGCCAUUUAGUUUUAAAUUUUAAUAAAGUAUUACUAUUUUCUGCUUCAAGGCAUUACUUUUGAGAUUAUUAUAUGUAUUAGAAAAUAUAGCAUAAUGAUAAUACUAGUUAUUGUAAACUUUACAAACCACCCAGCAGUAUGUAAAGUCAAAUUAUAAAAUACAAGUAAAUAACAAUUACACAACAGAAUGUCAAUGUGUUCAUUACCGACACACUUAGCUUUGACAAAGCACACUGCUUAGGUAAAGGAUCUCAGUACUUGUUUAUCACUGAGCAAUUUGUUAAUAUGUGUUUUGAGCCAAAUAAAUGACAGGGAGAGAGAGAGAGAGAGAGAGAGUGUGACGUUAGGACACGUCGUACUAUGGCAACCUCCCGAAGGUGGGGGGGUGUCAAUCAUUGGAAUGUGCAUGCGCAGACAGAUUGCGCGACCGGCGGGCCUUGAACUUUCUAAGGGAAAAACACUUUCUCACGGACGGUGACAGCGAAGCGGAUAACAGUCUUGAGUACCUGCUGGUCUUUGAAGCUCUGGAUUCUGGGACUGUUGGAAAAGCUCCAACAAAAUGAGGAAGAGGAGCGGGAGAAACACACUUAGAUUGAAUUACAAUUGGAUGGAAGUCAAGGACAAGGAGAAGGAAGCUUAGGAUGAGGAGGAAGAAAAGCAGCAGGAGCAUCUUUAGGGAUCUCUAUGAUGUCAUUGAGUGGCGGCGGCGAGAGGGGAGACCUCGGCUCAUCCAGCUGGAGAGCCUGACCAGGAGGAGUCGAACAUUAACUCGGCUCUUCCAGGGCACCCUGCAGACUCGGCUGCUGGCAACAGCGAGGGAUGAUGUGAACGCCAAACUGGAGUCCAUCACAGGUCGACUGCAGCUCCUUGUCUCAGAGAUGGAGGGAUUUGAAGCACAAAGGGAGCAGCUUGUCGUUUGGUUGGCUGAUAUGGAUGCCCGCCUGAGUGAGGUUGACCAGCUGACAGGAAACACCUGUGAAAAACUGAAACAACUGCAGCUUAUCACACAUUUGAUUUCCAUGUGUGACAACUGCAAGUGUCCAGAGUGAGGACAGA